UAGGCAAGUACACUACCACUGAGCCACAACAUCAGCCCUGUAAAUGCUACUUUUCUUAAAGAUAAUAAAUUUUAUUUGUCCAUGGGUUUUAUUGAAGAAAUUUGUUCAAAUUGUUUAUCUUGGUUUACAGAGUGGUGCAGACCAGCAAUCAAAGCUGCUUGGGAGGCUGAGGCAGGACAGCAAGUUUGAGGCCAGCCUAAGCAACUUAGCCAGACCCUGUGUCAAAAUAAAUAUGAAGAGGCCUGGGAGUAUAGAUGAAUGGUAGAGAGCCCCUGGGUUUAUCCCUUAUACCCUCAAAAAACAAAAUUAACAAACCAACGAUUUAUCUUUCAACACCCUUUUCUAGAAAAAAUACAGAAAACAACUUUGUGCUCUCAAGGUAUCCAUGACAGUAAAAUCCAUUUUGAUGCAUUUAUACAAGAAUGGAGUAUGUGUUAUUUUAAUUAGGAUCCCAGUCUUGUGGAUAUACAUGAUGUUUACAAAAUAGAGGAGGAAGAUCAUUUCAUGAUGACAUUCGGCUCAUGUGACAGAAGGAAACUGGCCACACAUGUGUUUGGAAAUCAUCUAGAACAGAAAGCCCUAAAGGAAAUUCCAGUGAAUGGAGCAGCCACAGUUCAUCCCAGGUUAGUUUCAGCUUUAGUGCAGCCACAAUGAGUACUUUCCUGUUGAAAGUGCCAACAUUAGUUAAUACCAACUCAAAUCAAGUCUUAGCACUUGCAAGUUGUAAGAAGAUUUAGCAUUUUUUCCCUUAAAUUCACAUGCUAUUUUGUACUUCUUGGAACUCAUUAUUAAUUUUUAUUAUAAUUUAGCAGGAAUUUCAUCAAUUUUCAUAUUUUAUAAUAAUAGAAAAACUUGGAAGAAAUAAAAUCAGGGCUUUGUUAACAUUAUUUAGUUCAAAUUUUUAAUUGUAGCUUUGGAAUGUUGGCUACUUUGAAAAAGGUGUCAGUUAAGAAAACUUCCCCCAGUAUUCACAGAUCAAUGCUAGAACUCCUGAAAAAUAAUGAAUGAGGAAUGAGAAAUUUGGUAAGUUACAAAAAAGUGUAUGAUUUUGUGGUUUUAAAAUUAUCUCUUUAUAUUUAUCAAGUUUGUUACUAAAUAUAAUCUUAAAUACUGAAUAAAGACAUAGAAGACUUUAACUUUUUUAUUUUUUUUUAUUUUUGUGGUGCUGGGGAUUAGAACCCAGGGCCUUGUGUAUGCAAGAUAGGCACUCUAUCAACUGAGCUGUAUCCCCAACCUGUAGAAGACUUUUAAAUUCCAUGUAUUACAAAGUCAUCAACUGAAACUUUAAAAAAAAUAGCUACUGGGUAUUAUGUUUUAU